rnacentral:rRNA from 1 species
AUGAACGCUAGCGGCAGGCCUAACACAUGCAAGUCGAGCGGUAGAAACCUUCGGGUUUUGAGAGCGGCGCACGGGUGCGUAACGCGUAUGCAACCUACCCUUCACAGGGGAAUAGCCCGUCGAAAGGCGGAUUAAUGUCCCAUAGUCCUCAGGAUAGGCAUCUAUUCUGGGGUAAAGAUUCAUCGGUGAAGGAUGGGCAUGCGUGCCAUUAGCUUGAUGGUGAGGUAACGGCUCACCAUGGCUACGAUGGCUAGGGGUUCUGAGAGGAAGGCCCCCCACACUGGGACUGAGACACGGCCCAGACUCCUACGGGAGGCAGCAGUGAGGAAUAUUGGUCAAUGGGCGCAAGCCUGAACCAGCCAUGCCGCGUGCGGGAAGAAGGCGCUACGCGUCGUAAACCGCUUUUGUCUGGGGGUAACCGCAGGGACGUGUCCCUGCCUGCAAGUACCAGACGAAUAAGGGUCGGCUAACUCCGU